rnacentral:rRNA from 1 species
AGUGAACGCUGGCGGUAGGCCUAACACAUGCAAGUCGAACGGCAGAACAGUAAGAGCUUGUUGUUACGGGUGGCGACUGGCGGAUGGGUGCGGGAAACAUCGGAAUCUACUUUUUCGAGGGGGAUGAAGCAGGGACUAUUACGGUAUUAGUGCUGACGAACUAAGGGUGAGAGCUGGGGAUCUUCGGCCAUUGCGCGAUUCAAUGUCGGAUUAGCUAGUUGGUGGGGUAAAGGCCUACCAAGGCGACGAUCCGUAGCUGGUCUGAGAGGAUGAUCAGCCACACUGGAACUGAGACACGGUCCAGACUCCUACGGGAGGCAGCAGUGGGGAAUAUUGGACAAUGGGCGCAAGCCUGAUCCAGCCAUACCGCGUGGGUGAAGAAGGUCUUCGGAUUGUAAAGCACUUUUAUUGGGAAAGAAAAGCAGUAAGUUAAUACCCCGCUGUUCUGACGGUACCCAAAGAAUAAGCACCGGCUAACUUCGUG